UCCAACUCUGAGUUGAUUUGAAUAGAAUACAAUUGAUAAACAUGAUUUCUAGGUCAGUCUUUUUUCGUCUUUGUUUUGGUUUUGAUUUUAUGCUUUUUUCUUUUUUGAAUAAGAAGUAGAAUUAGAAGUAGAAUACUAAUGCUAAACUAAAGUAUCUGUUUUAAAUACCUGGAGUUCCCAAGUGAUAUUUCCCUCUAGCAAUAUUCUGAAAAGUGUCUAAAUCCACAUACCCAGGGUCAUGUGGAGGCAUGAGUAUUAUUAGUUAGACAGUACUAGUGGUUUAGUGCUCUGUAAGCCUGAUCUAUUCCCAGGUGCAUAUAAUUCUUACCCAAAUUUGGGGGAAUAUAUAUCUAACCUGAAUCUUUGUAUACAGAUUUGCCUCCCUUGUUCCUAGUCUUGUUCUCCUGACAAUGGUUUCUGCUUCUAUGUUACAGAAAAGAAGAAGAAAAGCUCAACCAGGAAAAAAAGGCUUCUGUUUCUUUAGAAUACACAGACUAACAUUCUUACAUGGAAGCUGAAGAUUUCCCAGAACAAGAACCCUAAGAUAAGCUGGAGUUAAUGGAAGCUUUUCUUUGGCUUUUUCAGUUGUGACCUGCCUUCCAACCAACACUGCAGUAUAUAACCACCUAGACCAGCAACGUUCCUCUGGAGCCAGCAUAGGGCCCUUCUUGAGUAAAUACCACCAGACUCACAAACAGCUCUGUUACUAAGGUUUUAUUUAAUUUCAGAGUGCAAAUAUUUUUCAAAUGCUCACUAGGUUUUAUAUACUAAGAAGCUAUAUUUUUGCCCUUAAACACUCCUUGAGGAUUAUGAUUUAUAUUCACAUAUAUUGGCUCAAAUGAGAUAAAAACCAAACUAUUAUGUUUACUUUGAUAUAUUAAUUUCUUUAGAGCAGCAUUUUAGCUACUAAAGUUAACAUGUUUAUUCUUUCUUUCUCACCUGCUCGAUUAAAAGGUGAGCUAAUUCUCUCAACCGUUUUGAUUAAUUAACAGAAAAUCCUAAAUUCAAACUGUUAAAGAACAGUUUGAUUUUUCUGACUCUCCUUAAGUAUGAGACACAUCUUAUUUUAUUCAAUUUCUUUCAAUACCCUAGAUGGCAGGGUUUUGUUUUUGGUCAGUUGACCUAGGGUUUACAGUAGCACAAGCCGAAACCACAGAGUAACUAGGGAAGGUGACACCAAUGCUAAUAGAUCGACUAAUGCCACCUCAGGAUGAAACGCUUGUCACCUUUUUUCUGUGCUCUGAUAAGUGAUCAACAGCUCUGAUUUUUCAUGAGCAGUGAAUGACUGUUUAGAUUACUAUAUUCCCCACUUCCAAUUCAAUUAUUUAUAACAAAAUAAUUUAGAGCAAAAUCUAUGCUCAUUUGUAGACUGGAAUCAUUACGCAGUUAAACAGAAGGAUUCUGAAGUAGUAUAUUACAAUUUAAGAAUUUAGGGGUAAUGAAAAAAA
rnacentral:lncRNA from 1 species